UUUAAAUUGAGAGUUUGAUCCUGGCUCAGGACGAACGCUGGCGGCGUGCCUAACACAUGCAAGUCGAGCGAUGAAACUUCCUUCGGGGAGUGGAUUAGCGGCGGACGGGUGAGUAACACGUGGGUAACCUGCCUCAAAGAGGGGGAUAGCCUCCCGAAAGUGAGAUUAAUACCGCAUAACAUUAUUUUAUGGCAUCAUAGAAUAAUCAAAGGAGCAAUCCGCUUUGAGAUGGACCCGCGGCGCAUUAGCUAGUUGGUGAGGUAAGGGCUCACCAAGGCGACGAUGCGUAGCCGACCUGAGAGGGUGAUCGGCCACAUUGGAACUGAGACACGGUCCAGACUCCUACGGGAGGCAGCAGUGGGGAAUAUUGCGCAAUGGGGGAAACCCUGACGCAGCAACGCCGCGUGAGUGAUGAAGGUUUUCGGAUCGUAAAACUCUGUCUUUAGGGACGAUAAUGACGGUACCUAAGGAGGAAGCCACGGCUAACUACGUGCCAGCAGCCGCGGUAAUACGUAGGUGGCAAGCGUUGUCCGGAUUUACUGGGCGUAAAGAGUAUGUAGGUGGGUGCUUAAGUCAGAUGUGAAAUUCCCGGGCUUAACCUGGGCGCUGCAUUUGAAACUGGGCAUCUAGAGUGCAGGAGAGGAAAGUGGAAUUCCUAGUGUAGCGGUGAAAUGCGUAGAGAUUAGGAAGAACACCAGUGGC
rnacentral:rRNA from 1 species